rnacentral:rRNA from 1 species
GCAGUGGGAGCCCCACCACCAAAGCAUUCUCUGGUGUUGAAGGCCCUGCAAAGCAGCAUCGCGGUGGCGGGGCGUCGUUUGCGACGCCCAACACACAAAACAAGCGGUGAGUGCUUUGGGGUGGGGUGACUGCGUACCUUUUGUAUAAUGGGUCAGCGACUUAUAUUCUGUAGCAAGGUUAACCGUAUAGGGGAGCCGUAGGGAAACCGAGUCUUAACCGGGCGUUAAGUUGCAGGGUAUAGACCCGAAACCCGGUGAUCUAGCCAUGGGCAGGUUGAAGGUUGGGUAACACUAACUGGAGGACCGAACCGACUAAUGUUGAAAAAUUAGCGGAUGACCUGUGGCUGGGGGUGAAAGGCCAAUCAAACCGGGAGAUAGCUGGUUCUCCCCGAAAGCUAUUUAGGUAGCGCCUCGUGAACUCAUCUCCGGGGGUAGAGCACUGUUUCGGCUAGGGGGCCAUCCCGGCUUACCAACCCGAUGCAAACUGCGAAUACCGGAGAAUGUUAUCACGGGAGACACACGGCGGGUGCUAACGUCCGUCGUGAAGAGGGAAACAACCCAGACCGCCAGCUAAGGUCCCAAAGUCAUGGUUAAGUGGGAAACGAUGUGGGAAGGCCCAGACAGCCAGGAUGUUGGCUUAGAAGCAGCCAUCAUUUAAAGAAAGCGUAAUAGCUCACUGGUCGAGUCGGCCUGCGCGGAAGAUGUAACGGGGCUAAACCAUG